GAUGAAGAACGUAGCGAAAUGCGAUAAGUAAUGUGAAUUGCAGAAUUCAGUGAAUCAUCGAAUCUUUGAACGCACAUUGCGCCCGCCAGUAUUCUGGCGGGCAUGCCUGUUCGAGCGUCAUUUCAACCAUCAAGCCCUGCUUGCGUUGGGGUCCUGUGGCUGCCCGCAGGCCCUGAAAACCAGUGGCGGGCUCGCUAGUCACACCGAGCGCAGUAAUACAUCUCGCUUUGGGCGUGCGGCGGGUUCUUGCCGUUAAACACCCCCUUUUUACCAAGGUUGACCUCGGAUCAGGUAGGAAUACCCGCUGAACUUAAGCAUAUCAAUAAGCGGAGGA
rnacentral:misc_RNA from 1 species